CAGUAGCCGCGGUAAUACGGAGGAUCCGAGCGUUAUCCGGAAUUAUUGGGUUUAAAGGGUGCGUAGGCGGAUAGAUAAGUCAGUGGUGAAAGACGGUGGCUCAACCAUCGCAGUGCCGUUGAUACUGUUUAUCUUGAAUAUGGAUGAGGUAGGCGGAAUGUGGCAAGUAGCGGUGAAAUGCAUAGAUAUGCCACAGAACACCGAUUGCGAAGGCAGCUUACCAAGGCAAAAUUGACGCUGAGGCACGAAAGCGUGGGGAUCGAACAGGAUUAGAUACCCCUGUAGUCCCUGUCUCUUAUAA
rnacentral:rRNA from 1 species